rnacentral:lncRNA from 1 species
GUUGAGAUAUUAGGAAUGCUUUCCUUAUAUCAUUCUUUCCUUGUAUCAUUUAGUGUUGAGAUAUUAGGAAUGUUUAGAUAUUAGGAAAGUUGAGAUAUUAGGAAUAUUGAGUUAUUAGGAUAUUAGUUGUUAUUUCCUUAUAUCAUUCUUUCCUUGUAUCAUUCUUUCCCAUUCUUAGAAUGGUGAUUACCCUCUAUAUAUACUCUGUACAUGAACGAAUGAAA